GUCCUGUUGGCCCAACGGCAAGGCGUCUGACUACGAAUCAGAAGAUUCUGGGUUCGAUUCCCAGGCGGGAUU
rfam:Fragilariopsis cylindrus CCMP1102 unplaced genomic scaffold FRACYscaffold_6, whole genome shotgun sequence.